rnacentral:rRNA from 1 species
GACGAACGCUGGCGGCGUGCCUAAUACAUGCAAGUCGAACGCAGUGGGGACGGUUGAUUAACACGUGGGUAACCUCCCAUCAGAGGGGAUAACACUUGGAUACUGGUGCUAAACCGCUACUGAAGGAUGGACCCGCGGUGCUUUAGCUAGUUGGUGGGGUAACGGCUCACCAAGGCCACGAUGCAUAGCCGACCUGAGAGGGUGAUCGGCCACACUGGGACUGAGACACGGCCCAGACUCCUACGGGAGGCAGCAGUAGGGAAUCUUCGGCAAUGGACGAAAGUCUGACCGAGCAACGCCGCGUGAGUGAAGAAGGUUUUCGGAUCGUAAAACUCUGUUGUUGGAGAAGCGGUAUCUAACCAGAAAGCCACGGCUAACUACGUGCCAGCAGCCGCGGUAAUAC